AUGGAGUCUCCUUUCCUGGAGGUUUAUAAGAGGCUAGGUGGCUAUCUGUUGGGAGGGCUUCGAUUGUGCCUUCCUGCAUGGCAGAAAGGGGCUGGACUGGAUAGCCCUCCAAUCCUAGAAUCUACUAUUCCAGUUGGCCCAGAAAAGUACAAAUCCCAGGAUUUUAUUCCUGCCCAUUCGAACCCUGGCUCUGGAGGGAUCCCUUCCGCACUUGUCUGGUUUGGAAGCCUACAGGCCUGUCAUCUUUUGCAGGCUGUGAGCCUGUUCCCAGAUCCUGCAGCCAAGGAAUUUCUCAAAGACAAGGCAAGGGAAGUCAUACAUUUUGCCCACGUGCUGCAAGAAAAAGAACAACAGCAAGUCAAAGUGUCCCGGCUCGAGGCUGAGAAUCGGCGUCUGCAGCAAGAGCUCCAGGAGGCCAAGAGAAGCCAGAGGCCUUUUACAUUUCCAUGGUCUAAAACAGAUUUCCAUGUCCAGAUCCAUGUCACUGGGCGGACUGAAAACUGUGAAAAAAGGUUCUUAAAGAAAGUCUCUGGCCGCCUUUCUGAUCAAAAUAUCAACCUCAAGGUGGAGAAGUACCGAGAGGGCUCCGGCCACUUGCUGCUGGUCUUCUGCCCAGUGUCCACCCGGGUGGGCACCGACAUGGACAACGCUCUUGAGGAUCUCAAAGGUGAGCCAAAGGUUGUCUUGGUGAUGCUGCACCACAAACCGAAGGAGAACACCUCCUUUGUGGACACCAAGCUGCAGGCGCAACACCCAGACGUGGUGUGCACUGUCCACGCUCGCUACACCAUCCAAGAAGGCUUCUACACCUGCCAGAUGAAUGAGGACGCCGUGGCCAUUGUGGCUGAAGUCCUUGAAGACCUCUGCAAAGGGGGGAAGGGUCACCCCGCAAUCCCUGGCGCGCCGUCCAAGUCUCGGAAGCUGCACUGAUUUCAGGAUGCUGCUAACUGCCAGGCAUCUCACUAUUGGGAGGAAAAGGACAUAAAGGAUAAGAAUGUUGGUGACUAUUAUAUUAAUUAUCCUAAAAUUAUUAUUCCACUGGGCUCUGUGUACGCACAGAUUCAACUUUCAGGUCAGCAACCUAACCUUUAAGUCACCAGUCCUGCCAACACAAAGAUUUAACCCACUGCGCCACUAGGGGAUCCUUAUGUUUAUAUUGAUGUUGUUUCAUUCAAUGGUUUGAUUUGGGGGUUUGUUUUGUAAAUUAUUUUUAUUCCCCAAAAAAAGAAUUUUUAAACAUACAAAAAACAGUAGUAAUGGGGGCAGGAAAGUCUUGGGGUCUAAAACCCCAGCGUAAGGGUUAUCUAACUGGGAGUGGUAGGGAAUGAACAGGUAGGAUAGGUUUGAUUUGGUUUUUGUUUUCAUUUUGGCAUUUGAAUGUUUGCCACUUUUUGUUUGGAAACCGUCCUGAGUCCCCUCGGGGAGAUAGGGUGGGUUAUAAAUAAAGAUUGUUGUUGUUGUUAUUAUGUGUGCCAAGUCUGGUCGAGAUCUGUUGUUGGCGGGAAUUGCAGGGUUCUCUGGAUACGAGGUGUACUAUAACUCCCACCAUCUGAGGUCAGUUGCCCCACAAACCUUCCAGUAUUUUCUGUUGGUCUUGAGAAGUCUCAAGUUUGGCCCAGUUAGUAGUUUGUGUUAAUGUGGAAUGUGUGUAUUGAUAGUGUUUAAAUGCAAUUUGUGUCUUGGUUUGUAUUGCAUACUGAUUGCAUCAUCCAGAGUGUAACAUAGUCUGUAAAGAGUUAAUUACUGAGAAGCUGUGAUGACCUUGAUGUGUGGCUGGAACUAGGGAGUGUCCAGACACAAGUGUGUGUAUGCAUUACUGAUUGCAUCUGUUCUGUUCUGUUUGCCUAGAGUGAGAGUCCUGUGUUUGUCUGCAAGUCUGUUUGUCUUGUACAGUAAAACUUUGUAUAUAGUUUUACCAAAGUCUCUGGAUGUCACUUCGUUCUGCAUCCCACUGACUCCAUCUACUGCUGCGCUGCAAAUUACUCUGACAGUUUGAAUGG
rnacentral:lncRNA from 1 species